rnacentral:rRNA from 1 species
UACCAGCACCCCGAGUGGUCGGGACGUUUUAUUGGGCCUAAAGCAUCCGUAGCCGGUUCUACAAGUCUUCCGUUAAAUCCACCUGCUUAACAGAUGGGCUGCGGAAGAUACUAUAGAGCUAGGAGGCGGGAGAGGCAAGCGGUACUCGAUGGGUAGGGGUAAAAUCCGUUGAUCCAUUGAAGACCACCAGUGGCGAAGGCGGCUUGCCAGAACGACGCUCGACGGUGAGGGAUGAAAGCUGGGGGGAGCAAACCGG